AAUAAGCUAUUUAAGAGCGUAAGGUGGAUGCCUUGGCUCUCAGAGGCGAUGAAGGACGUGAUAAGCUGCGAUAAGCUACGGGGAUUGGCACACACAAUUUGAUCCGUAGAUUUCCGAAUGGGGCAACCCACUAUAUUGAAGAUAUAGUAUCCGUUAAGGAAGCAAACCCAGGGAACUGAAACAUCUAAGUACCUGGAGGAAUAGAAAACAAAAGUGAUUCCGCUAGUAGUGGCGAGCGAACGCGGAACAGCCCAAACCAAAAUUGUUUCGGCAAUUUUGGGG
rnacentral:rRNA from 1 species